CAUUUACAAGUUUGUACAGAAUUUUAUGAUCUACAAAACAAGAAUCAAGUUUAAUUACAGUUGAUAUGAUAACUAAACACAGUUAAUUGCAGUUUUAACCGCAUUUAACAGUAAUAUGUAUAAUAUUAUAACAGGAGCGCACCACUUCUCCUGUAGGUUUAAACACUUCCCCACGCAGUUUUACUUAGCGAUAGGCGGCCGUUAACAGGAAUGGCUGGGACCGGCUGGCGGGGGCAUUUCCUCUCAGUAUUUGAUUAUAAAACGGAAAAAUACGUAAUUGCAAAAAACAAGAAAGUCGGCGUCCUGUAUAGAUUUGUGCAGCUAGCAAUCCUGGCGUAUAUCGUCUGGUGGGUCUUCCUGACAAAGAAAGGCUACCAGGAAGUGGAGGAAUCUAUCCAGAGCUCAGUGAUCACUAAACUUAAGGGUGUGAUACUCACCAAUACCACAGAAACGGGAGUACAUAUGUGGGGGCCAGAAGAUUACGUCAUUCCCCCCCAGGGGGAGAAGGUCUUUUUCAUCAUUACAAACUUUAUUGAGACACCAAAACAGGUGCUUGGAUACUGUGCUGAGAGUUCCAGGGUCCCAGAUGGCCGCUGUACUGAGAAUAUAGACUGUGCAGAAGGAGAGAUGGUGGUGGCUGGGCAUGGAAUUAAGAGUGGCCGGUGCCUGAAGAAGGACAGAAACUCCACUGGCACAUGUGAGAUAUAUAGUUGGUGUCCAGUUGAGAGGGGCCGUCAACCACGAGAACCAGUGUUGGGACGAGCUGAAAACUUCACCAUCUAUAUAAAAAAUUUCAUCCAGUUUCCUAAGUUUGGAUUUUCAAAAUCAAAUGUACUGGAAACUAAUGAUGACCAGUACCUAAAGAAAUGUUCCUAUGACAAAAUCCAGCACCCAUAUUGCCCAAUUUUCCGCCUAGGGGACAUAGUUAGUUGGGCAGGACACAAUUUCCAGAAAAUGGCUGUUAUGGGUGGGUCGAUUGGCAUUAUGAUUGAGUGGAACUGUGACCUGGACCGGGAUUACUCCCAGUGUAACCCCUACUAUAGCUUUGCUCGGUUGGAUGUCAUCUCUGCCUCCAGCUCAGUCUCAUCUGGCUACAAUUUCAGAUUUGCUAAGUAUUUCAAAAAUCCAGCUGGGAAGACGUACCGAACACUGGUUAAAGUGUAUGGAAUCCGCUUUGACAUCUUGGUUUAUGGAAAGGCUGGAAAGUUUAACAUCAUCCCUACAAUAAUUAAUAUUGGCUCAGGUCUUGCUUUAAUGGGAGCUGUAAGUAUUAAUAUUCCAUCCAUCCAUCCAUCCAUCCAUCCAUCAUCUUCCUCUUAAUCCGGGGUCGGGUCGCGGGGGCAGCAGUCUCAGCAGGGAAGCCCAGACUUCCCUCUCCCCGGCCACUUCAUCCAGCUCUUCUGGGGGGAUCCCGAGGCGUUCCCAGGCCAGCCGGGAGACAUAGUCUCUCCAGCGUGUCCUGGGUCUUCCCCGGGGUCUCCUCCCAGUGGGACAUGCCCGGAAGACCUCACCAGGGAGGCGUCCCGGAGGCAUCCUAAUCAGAUGCCCGAGCCACCUCAUCUGGCUCCUCUCGAUGCGGAGGAGCAGCGGCUCUACUCUGAGUCCCUCCCGAAUGACUGAGCUCCUCACCCUAUCUCUAAGGGAGAGCCCAGCCACCCUGCGGAGGAAACUCAUUUCGCACCCGCAAUCUCGUUCUUUCGGUCACUACCCAUAGCUCAUGACCAUAGGUGAGGGUAGGAACGUAGAUUGACUGGUAAAUCGAGAGCUUUGCCUUUUGGCUCAGCUCUCUCUUCACCAUGACAGACCGAUGUAGCGCCCGCAUGACUGCUGACGCCGCACUGAUCCGCCUGUCGACCUCCCGUUCCAUCGUUCCCCCACUCGUGCACAAGAUCCCGAGAUACUUAAACUCCUCCACUUGGGGGAGGACCCCAUCCCCAACCCGGAGAGAGCAUUCUACCCUUUUCCGGCUGAGAACCAUGGUCUCAGAUUUGGAGGUGCUGAUUCUCAUCCCAGCCGCUUCACACUCUGCUGCGAACUGCUCCAGUGAGAGCCGAAGGUCACGGUCCGAUGAGGCCAACAAAACCACAUCAUCUGCAAAAAGCAGAGACCGAGUCCUGAGGUCACCAAACUGGACACCCUCAACGCCCUGGCUGUGCCUAGAAAUUCUGUCCAUUAAAGCUAUAAACAGAAUCAGUGACAAAGGGCAUCCCUGACCGAGUCCAACCCUCACUGGGAACAAGUCCGACUUAUUGCCGCCCAUGCGGACCAGGCUCUGGCACCGGCCAUACAGGGACUGAACCGCCCUUAAAAGGAAGCCCAGUACCCCAUACUCCCGGAGCACUCCCCACAGGACUUCCCGAGGGACACAGUCGAAUGCCCUCUCGAAGUCCACAAAACACAUGUAGACUGGUCAGGCAAACUCCCAUGAACCCUCCAAAACCCUGCUGAGAGUAUAGAGCUGGUCCACUGUUCCACGGCCAGGGCGAAAACCACACUGCUCCUCCUGAAUCCGAGGUUCGACAAUCCGGCGGACCCUCCUCUCCAGGACCCCCGAAUAGACCUUACCAGGGAGGCUGAGGAGUGUGAUCCUCCUGUAGUUGGAGCACACCCUCCGGUCCCCCUUCUUAAAGAGGGGGACCACCACCCCGGUCUGCCAGGCCAGAGGCACUGCCCCCGAUGUCCACGCGAUGCCGGAGAUGCGUAUCAGCCAGGACAGCCCCACAGCAUCCAGAGGCUUGAGGAACUCCGGGCGAAUCGCAUCCAUCCCCAGGGCCCGGCCACCGAGGAGCUGUUUGACCACCUCAGCGACCUCCGCCCCAGAAAUAGGCGAGUCCACCCCCAAGUCCCCACACUCUGCUUCCAUAUCGGAAGGCGUGUCGGUGGGAUUGAGGAGGUCUUCGAAGUAUUCCUUCCACCGACCCAAAAGUUGAGGUCAGCAGCGCACCAUCCCCACCAUAAAUAGUGUUGAUGCUGCACCGCUUUCCCGCCCGGAGCCGCCGGAUGGUGGACCAGAAUCUCCUCGAAGCUGUCCAGAAGUCGUUCUCCAUGGCCUCGCCAAACUCCUCCCACACCCGAGUUUUUGCCUCAGCAACCGCCAAAGCCACAUCCCGCUUGGCCUGCCGGUAGCUGUCAGCUGCGUCUGGAGUCCCACAGGCCAAAAAGGCCAGAUAGGACUCCUUCUUCAGCUUGACGGCAUCCCUUACCACCGGUGUCCACCAGCGGGUUCGGGGAUUGCCGCCGCGACAGGCACCGACCACCUUACGGCCGCAGCUCCAGUCAGCUGCCUCCACAAUGGAGGCGCGGAACAUGGCCCAUUCGGACUCAAUGUCCCCCGCCUCCCCCGGGAUAUGGGAGAAGUUCUGCCGGAGGUAGCAGUUGAAACUCUCCCUGACAGGGGAUUCCGCCAGAUGUUCCCAGCAGACCCUCACUAUACGCUUGGGCCUGCCAGGCCUGGCCGGCUUCCUCGCCCACCAGCGGAGCCAACCCACCACCAGGUAGUGAUCGGUUGACAGCUCCGCCCCUCUCUUCACCCGAGUGUCCAAGACAUGCAGCCGCAAGUCCGACGACACGACUACAAAGUCGAUCAUCGAACUGCGGCCUAGGGUGUCCUGGUGCCAAGUGCACAUAUGGACACCCUUAUGCUUGAACAUUGUGUUCAUUAUGGACAAUCCAUGACGAGCACAGAAGUCCAAUAACAAAACACCGCUCGGUUCAGAUCGGGGGGGCUGUUCCUCCCAAUCACUCCCCUCCAGGUCUCACUGUCAUUGCCCACGGGAGCAUUGAAGUCCCCCAGUAAAACAAGAGAGUCCCCAGGAGGAGCGCUCUCCAACACCCCUUCCAAGGACUCCAAAAAGGGGUGCCUUCUUCUGUGACCUGAUACUUUUGUACCUGAUCAAACAGAGC